GCCCUGUGGCGCUCUGUCCUAUGUCGAUCGGGCGUCCGCGCUAAGCUCGGCGUCAAUAUGGACAUCUCAGGGUAGCCUGAGGUGGCCAGGUUGUCUAAGGAGGAACGAACCGGGCGAGGCCCGAAAGGGAGCAGCCAAAAGUUCCCACGUUGAUCAGUAGCGGGAUAGCGCCUGUGAAUAGGAAGAGUGUUACAG
rnacentral:SRP_RNA from 1 species